UUCCCCUUGUGUACACUUGUACACGCACCAAGAGUGUGACCUUCUUGGUUUGCACAGCUGCACAGAUUAUGCGUGCGAUCAAAGGAUUUCCAAGGCCUAUUUGUAAUUGGGCUGUGGGCCUCCUUGGCCGUGAGUCUUGACUCUUCUUGGGUCAUGACUUAUUCUCCAAAUCCAUUAAGCGUACUUAGCUCUUAAGCUUUCUUUAGACAAACUUGGCCUAUUCAUUAGAAUAAUCUCAAUUAGGAAAAUAGUCAGGGAUGAAAUUACUUUCCUGUUAUGAGCAAUCCCGUUUAGGAAAUAAAACAAUGUUGGCAUUGCUUUCCUAUUUGGGACGGAACUUGUACGACUUGCGUGUGCACAUCUGUUGUGCUGCAGUGGACUUGCAGAUAAUUAUUUCGUAGGAGUCCAAUUUUCUAAAGGGUUCCUCCUUGAUACAUAAUUACAUCUUUGGAACUAAUUUUAUGCUGUCUAAGAUCACAUCACAAAAUCACUUAAAUUAGAUAGUAAGUAGCUCAAUUAUGCAUUCAAAAUAAGUGAAAAAUAUGUUAUUUAUGUGGAUUAUCAAAUUCUCCCACACUUAUCUUGUGCUUACCCUCAAACACCUCACACUAUGAAUCAAUAACUCUCAAGCUUUCACCUUCAACUCAUAUAUUCCCACUCAUUUCCUCACAACUUGUAUGUUAUAUCUCCAUUCUCGAACUGUAAGUAGAGACAUCAACUAGUAAUUCGUAGGCUUGAGUUUUAUGGAAUCACACUAAUGAAUAAUUAAUUUGACUAUAAGCACAAAAAUGAAAAUAUUUUGCAAUUUUUUUAAACAUGUUUAUUUUUUAUUGAGAAGAAUAGCCUACACCCACAAUAUAACAGUCACACAAAACUUGUCCAUAUAUAAGAAUUUCAUGUAAUUGGUUCAUGUUAGACUAGAAAGUUUAAUUGUAACUAUCUUGAGCAAUUUUAUUGGUUGAUUGAAAUGUCACUAAUCUUUUGACACGAUGACAAACAUUUGUGAUGAAUAUACCUAGUUAUUUAGUUGGUCACAAAUUCACGUGGCUACGAGCGCUACUCAUAGUCAAUUGACUGGAGGAGUAUAUUAUUAUUUUUGUUCUUUAUUUUUUUCUAGUCAUGAACCUUAAGAUUAUUAUACACAUAAAUCCAUAUAGGUUGUAGUGGAGUUUUCUUAAGUAUCGACAUUCAUUCAAUGAUAAGAGAAAAUUAAUUAAAAACAAUCCCUAGACAAGUUAUAUUAAGACAUAUAAUCAAAGAUAACCACUCAUAGUGUAAAAAGAUGAAACAUAAUCUAAAAAUCCUGGAAGAUUAUUAUAAUUACAAUUCAAUUAUUGAAAUAUCACAAUUGGGUUGUUUUGGGAAUAAUUGAGAUAAUAGUGAAAAGCCUGGGUUUAAAAGUGUAAUUGUGGUGUGCCUUGGGCAAUGUUAUAAAAAAUUUAGAAUACAGUAGCGAAUAUUAGAGAAUGCAACAAAGUAUUAAAGGAAAACCUAAAAUGUAGUAUGUCUCUCCCCCGCAUUUAAACUGCACAUUGUUCCCAAUGUGAUGUAUAGAUGGAAUAAUGAAAUAAAUAAAAAUGAAUGGACAAAGUGACUCCCCUGGUUACUUGAGGAAAAGGCGGGUACGUUGGUCAGUAUCAUUUGGACUUGUGGUAAUGGGCGACCUUCACCGUUUGUGCUAUUGAUUGGACUAGCUCAUCGAUUUUGUCCAGCUGUUCUUUUAUUUGGAGACACUUGUUCUCAACAUUGUUUAAGCAGUCAUCCAUCUUUUGUAGUUUCAACAUAAUCACUUAUGGAUGUUGAAUCCACCAAAAAUAAUCUCCUACUCUAACUACAAUUUAAAACUUGUAGUAGUGGCGAAUAGGGUCGAAUCAUGAGAGAAUUGAGAACCACUCUCCUUUUAUGGCCAGUGAUAAAACCAAAGCUGGGUUUCAUUUCAAGAUAACAUAAAGAAUUAAAAUAAAUCAAAUAAACUUAAAAUAGAAUGAUAAAAAUUGUUAUCAGCAAGUGAUUGAAGUAGCAAACAGUUAUGAAUGGAUUUCAGUUAAAGAAGUAGUUUAGAUUCUAGUUGUUGGUUGAUCACUGAUGCAAUGAUUAUCCUUAUUUGACUUUCAAUAAACCAGUUCUACUUGUUGAAAAUGCUCCUAACAACUAAUGUUUCCUUAAUCUUAUAUUAACCAAGAGACAUUCGUUAGUUAGCUCUUGCUAAUAAACAAUUUCGAAGAUGCUCUUAGAAUUUACUUUAUUACCAUUAUUAAGAUCUAGAAAGACAUGAUUAUAGUCAAUGAAUUCAACUGCGUGAUUCAUUCAAACUAGAUUGUAUAUCCUUUUAGUAUGAAACUAAUUCAUCACUAAUUAUUAAAAUAAUGUAAACAAUUAAGGAUUUAGAACUUUUGAAUGGCAGUAUGAUGUUAUGUUUCGUGCUUAACGGACCCUAUUAAAUGACCAACAAAAAAUAAGAAUAAUAUGUGCAGAGAGAUAUGUAAAUAUUGAAGUUUAAAGAAGAACAUAAGUAAAUAAUUAGAUCUCACAAUCCCAAAUUGAAACUUCAACUAAGUCUUUAACUGAAAAGUGUUUGUUCAGUCAUCAUGAUGAGUUCAACACACAAGAGAUUGUUUUGGUGAUUAUAGAAAGAAAGAAUGAUGUAGAAGGAUCAAAUCUGUUAAUGUUGCUGGUAGCCCCCUUCUUUUUUGUUUUACUUUCUAUUUAAAAGCCGAGAGGAUCAAGCUUUCCUCUUGUGAAGAUAGGGUUUUUUAGGUGAUUUCAGCUUUCUUUCUACUUUUCAAAGUCAUUUAAUUUAUUUGAUUUCCCCUUUUUCAAUUGUAACGGGAUCUUCUUUUAAAUUUAAGAGUGCACCAGGAUAUCUGAUGUUACUAGCCCAACCCUUGUUUGAGGCUUGUCUGUGUAUGAUCUGAUACCUACUAACGCUACUUGGAUGUUAGCUUUGCCUAAGGUUCAUCUGUGUAGAAAUCGAUGUUUUCCACUACCACAGGAAUGCAAGUCUUGCCCGAGGCUUGGUAGGAUGUGGACUAAGAUCUGCUACCCUUGCCCGAGGCUUAUGCAAAAACUGAUGACUACUAUUAUUUAUGCACAUUUUUAAACUCUCCCACACUAAUCUUGUGUUUUCCCUCAAGCAUCCCACAGUACCAUUUAAUAGUUCUCAACCUUUCACCUUCACCCCAAUUUUCCCCAACUAUUCCCUCACAACUCGUGUGUCAUAUCUCAAUCCUCAAAUUAUAAAAAUAGUCAUCGACUAGUAAUUUCUAGACUUGAGUUUCAUAAAAUUAAACAACUAAACAACUACUUCGAAUAGUACCCGAGCAUAAAACAAAAAGGUUUUGUAAGUUUUUUAACACAUUUAUUUUUCCUUGAGAAGAAUAAUCAACAUCUAGUAUAACACCCACACCAAACCUGUCCAGAUAUAAGGAUUUCAUGCAAUUAGUUCAUGCAAGAACAGAAAAUUUUAUUGCAACUAAUUUGAGCACUUUUAUUGCUUACCAAAAAUGUUAUCAACUUUUUAAAAUGAGGACAAACAUUUGUGAUGAAUGUACCCAGUUACUUAGUCAAUCAGAAGUUACAAGUGGCUACUAGCACUAUUUAUAGUUAAUUGACUGGUGGAGUAGAUUAUUAUUUAUGCUCGCUCCCCCUUCUUUUUUGAAACUUCUAGUUAUGAACCUUAAGAUUAUUAGACACACAAAUCCAAACAAGUUAUAGUGGAGUUUUCUAUAUUUACUUAAGGGCAAGAAAAAAAAUCAAUUAGAGGCAAUUCCUAAACAAGUUAUGUCAGAACACAUAAUCAAAUAUAGUCAUUUAUGGGCUGAAAAGAGGAAAAACAAGCUAGAAAUCCUAGAAGAUUACCGUGAAUACAAUUAAGUCCUUGAAGUGUCACAAUUGAGUUGUUUUGGGAAUCAAUAAGACAAUAAUGAAAAAUAUGGGGUUUAAAACAGUUGAAAUAUUAUUUUUAGUGGUUUAUCGUGGGCAAAGCUAAAGUAUGCAUCGGUGGGUGUCAUGAGAGAAGUUUGAAUGCAACAAAAAUAAUAUAGCUAAAUAUCAAAAUGGAACCUAAAACGUAGUGUGUCCCUCACCCACACUUCAACUACACAUUGUCCCUAAUGUGAUACAGAGAAAAUGAGUAAUAAAAGGAAAAUGAAGGGAUAUAACUCCCUGGUGUGGUGACUAGGAGGUGUGGCAUACUAGAAGCAUCAUCUAAUUCUAGGGCGAGGGGUAUCCUUUACUGUUUAGCUAUGGAUUGGGCUAGCUCCUCAACCCUUUUGGAUAGUUGGUGGGUCAAAUUCUUGAGGUGAAACAUGCAUCCAUCUAUCUUCUGAACAUGUAGCAAUACUCCUUGCAGGAGUUGGUGGAUCUCGGCUGAUGUAGCUUCGGUGGCAGAAGGUGUGGUGGUAGCAGGUUUUGUGGCUUUCAACUCUGUGUGUUCUUUCUUUUUGCUGUAUACUCACAUGUUUCUAGGAACAAGUGGGCCAAGUAGGGCAAAACAUGGGAUGUCAUGCUUAAGGUGUAGCAGUCCCAUGUCAUCCAAAAAACCCAAAUAUAAGGCAGUUUGAGGGCAAGUUAUGUGCAAGUUAGUCUCUCCUAUAUCAAAUGUAGUGAUGUAGAGGGUAAUUCGGGUGAUGAUGGAUCUUAGAAUUGAUGGCCAUUUGAAGGAAAUGACAUUAGAAAUUGAGAGGUAAACCAAAAACUGAGGUUGACUCUUUUCUUAUUAACCAUACACGAUAGGAAGUAUAACUUGAUUUUGGAGAAGAUACUGGUGCAUCUUUUCGACUAAAAAAUAGUAAGCCAAAGACCUAUGAAUGUAUUUUAUGCAUGGAUUGUGCAAAUAUAAGUCCUUAGAUUUACUAGGGUUAAAUGUCUCCGGUGGAUUGUCGCAGAAUUGGGCAUACACAGUGGUAACAUCAAAGUCAUCACAAAAAUUGCAAUAGGGAUUUUCACGAUUGAAUACAGCUAUGAAAAUAGUUAAAGUGUUUGCCUAAAAAAUGGAAAGAAACUAGAUUAGGUGUGUGAAAGGUGAAAUCGGCCGGUUUAUAAAACUUAAAGGUUGUGUAAAACUCCCUAACUAGUUCUACAUAUGCAGGUAUGUCAACCCCAAAGUAGUCUUCCUAGCCAAUGUUACAAAUCAACAUAAGUACCCAUUGUCUAAUUUUUAGGGUUUCGAGAGUAAGGUGAUGGACAGACUUACAUGAUAUGAUGGGGAGUUUAUAGACUUCCAUAUAUCAUUCAUUCUCUAAAACCUCUUAGAACAUGAGGUGGUUGUGCAACUCGGAUUCAACCACUGAGAGGAUGUGUUUCCCCUUUUUAACCCUUGCUCUCUUUCGGGCUCGCUCGGCUUCAGCAUCUUUGUUUGCAGGCUCUUGGGCCAUGGGUUGGUACGUGUGUGGUUGUUCAUUAUCAUAGCUCGUUUCAGGGUUUUUUUACUCCUUGGUUGGAGAGUCAAGAACGUCGAAUACAUGGUUGCAGCGUUGUUGAUUGGGCAUUGCAGAGCCGCUAGCGCCAUGAGGUAAAACAUGUUCCUCUUUUGGAAUAUAGAGUUCGAGUGUUGCUAGAGGCGUCUGUGUUUGCGUCGUUGUCUCACAAAUGGUGUGCUGUUUUGAUGUGAGCAAUAAGAGGGAAAAUAAUUUCUUUAAAGGGAGAAUCAAACAAGAAUGAAGACUUUUUCCCAAAUAAUGUGAUAUCUUAAAGGAAGAGAAAAUCAAAUCUCAUUUCUUAAAAA
rnacentral:lncRNA from 1 species